AUUGAACGCUGGCGGCAGGCUUAACACAUGCAAGUCGAGCGGAGAUGAGGUGCUUGCACCUUAUCUUAGCGGCGGACGGGUGAGUAAUGCUUAGGAAUCUGCCUAUUAGUGGGGGACAACAUUCCGAAAGGAAUGCUAAUACCGCAUACGCCCUACGGGGGAAAGCAGGGGAUCUUCGGACCUUGCGCUAAUAGAUGAGCCUAAGUCGGAUUAGCUAGUUGGUGGGGUAAAGGCCUACCAAGGCGACGAUCUGUAGCGGGUCUGAGAGGAUGAUCCGCCACACUGGGACUGGGACACGGCCCAGACUCCUACGGGAGGCAGCAGUGGGGAAUAUUGGACAAUGGGCGGAAGCCUGAUCCAGCCAUGCCGUGUGUGUGAAGAAGGCCUUUUGGUUGUAAAGCACUUUAAGCGAGGAGGAGGCUACCUGGAUUAAUACUCUAGGAUAGUGGACGUUACUCGCAGAAUAAGCACCGGCUAACUCUGUGCCAGCCGCCGCGGUAAUAC
rnacentral:rRNA from 1 species